UUUUUCUCGCGAGAGGCGGGGACUCGAGCGCGCUCUCUCCCUCCCCUUUUCGGAGCAGGUUCUCGCGGAAGCGAUGGAGGUUUUGAGGCAAUUCUCGCGAGAGCUGGUUGCCUUGGCUCCCCGUAGCUAUAGCAGCGAGCGGGGGGGACGAAGCGAGCGAGCGAGAAUGCUGCGGGCUCCGGUGGGACGCGUCUCUGGCGGGCUCUCAAUGUCAUUUGGAAGAUGGAUUCCGCCAUAUCUGGAUUAAAUUCCUUGUCCUGCAGAUGACUAGCAUCUUCUCUAAAUAAGAAAGUGGGAGAAUAUUCUGCUCUGACAAAGGCGUCCUGGACAGUAACUCCACCACAAGGAAAUGCAGCUACGUUUCCAUGCCCUCUUGCCCAGGUUUAGCACUGCUGCAAAGCCCCAAAUCCAGAUUACAUAAUCCCCUCUUCCAAAGUGUAAACAUGAUUUUAUAAUACUAUAAAUAUGCAUAUAUAAAUAUACUUUGUAUUUUUUCAAGAUCUUUGUUAGAAACUGGCUAAUUUAACACUUCAAGGAGUAUGUGCUGAGAAUGAUGUGCUGUAGCCUAUUCAUAUAAAAUUGUGUGUAGCUUUUAAAAAUAUUAAAAUUAACGUUACCCUUACAGCAUAUUUCAUCCAUGUUUCCCCAAGACACAUGCCCACAGGUUCCUCUGCUUCUUGUUCUUUCUGAUUUCAUUUUGGGGAUGUGCUUUUGUAUUUUUUGUUUUGUUUCAAAAGGUUCUGCAUAUAGUGGGAGGUGAGGCAACACUGGUCUUGGCAGAACACCACAAAACCAAGAGAGUAAUUACAUGACGCAAGUCUUUGAUUAUUUUUUUCUCUGUAAAACUUUCUGGCACGGCUGGGCAUUCCAGUUGCAAAAGAAGGAACAGGAGAAGAAACUUCUAAAGAUCUGCACGGAGAGUUAGAAGAACUUUUCUGUUAAAGUUUUACUACCUAAAAUAAAAGCGCUUCCCAGCGCAGUUCCGGAAUCUCUACUUUUUCAUCCCUCUCAGAACUGAAGAUAUCUUUUCACCACUUCCAUUAGAAGCAAGGCUUUAUUUUGGUUUUGGUGGGCCUGCUUUUUUACUAGUUGGGUUGCUCUAUGUUCUGUGGGAGGAUUAUAAAAGUAUUAACAGAAGUCUUGCAUUUUACUUGUCCUGGACCCUGCUGGACUUCAGCAAUUACACUGUCUUCAAGAGGGUUCUAUUGAAGUGACAGUCUGUUCAGAAGAAGGAUGUAACAGCAAAGCAGUUGCACUUGAAAGACCAUGGAUUCCUUCAUUUUGCUUGCUUCUGUUCUAUUGCCUGUAAAGCAUCAUCAUCCCUGCAUCAUCAGCAGAUGAAUGAUAGCAUCCUGCGCUGGAUUUAAAAUAAAUAUAUAUAUAUAUAGCUAACUCAUGAGUUCCAUGUGUCCACAUCGAAGGAGAAAUUUUGUUUAAACUGUAUUUUAAGAGGAUUGGAUUGUACUCCUUAAUUUUCACUUUGGGUAAAGGAUCUUGCCAAUGAAAGACUUUCAGUCAAACAGAGAUACAAAAGCCUUCUUCAUAU
rnacentral:lncRNA from 1 species